rnacentral:rRNA from 1 species
UACGUAGGGAGCAAGCGUUGUUCGGAUUUACUGGGCGUAAAGGGCGCGUAGGCGGCGCGGUAAGUCACUUGUGAAAUCUCUGAGCUUAACUCAGAACGGCCAAGUGAUACUGCAGUGCUAGAGUGCAGAAAGGGCAAUCGGAAUUCUUGGUGUAGCGGUGAAAUGCGUAGAUAUCAAGAGGAACACCUGAGGCGAAGGCGGGUUGCUAGGCUGACACUGACGCUGAAGCGCGAAAGCCAGGGGAGCAAACGGG